rnacentral:pre_miRNA from 1 species
UAAGGUAAUUAAUGGGUGAUGUUGCCUUCCUGCCUGGCUCCCUGAAUGCCAUCUGAGAAGCACACCACCGUGCCUGGCGUGGCUCCUGGUUGGCAUUGAGGGAGUCAUGCAGGGUUGCAGGUACGUCCUCGCUUACUCCCUUCA